rnacentral:rRNA from 1 species
AUUGAACGCUGGCGGCAGGCCUAACACAUGCAAGUCGAACGAGUGGCGGACGGGUGAGUAAUGUCUGGGAAACUGCCUGAUGGAGGGGGAUAACUACUGGAAACGGUAGCUAAUACCGCAUACCAUCGGAUGUGCCCAGAUGGGAUUAGCUAGUAGGUGGGGUAAAGGCUCACCUCGGCGACGAUCCCUAGCUGGGCUGAGAGGAUGACAAGCAACACUGGAACUGUGACACGGUCCAACCUCCGACGGGAGGCAGGAGUGGGGAAUAUUGCACAAUGGGCGCAAGCCGGAUGCAGCCAUGCCGCGUGUAUGAAGAAGGCCUUCGGGUUGUAAAGGACUUUCAGGAGGGAGGCGUUACCCGCAGAAGAAGCACCGGCUAACUCCGGGCCAGCAGCCGCGGUAAUAC